CAACACUUGUAAAAGUGACUCUGAGAAGCCAGAAAGAUCCUCUGUGAGAGGCUGGUGUCCCCAGAAAUUGGCGAGGCCUGCUGAGGAUCAUUUGGGUAAAUGUCAUGGUCACGCGGCCCCAUUCUCUUCGCUGAGCUCCAGAUUUCCGUAGCCAAUUGUCUGCUGGACAUUCCUCCCUGAGACGUCUCACAGGAUUUUUAUGUGUAUGGUCAUUUCAAGUGAAUUUUGUAUACAGAGCAAGGCGAUUACUUUAAAACAUGAAAGAAAUUGCAUUUUUUCCUUAAGGGCAAGACGUGCUGUGGCUUUCCUCUCUCCUGAUGAGAUGAUGUAAAUGGACUCCAUAGAGAAACGCUGCCCUUGUAACAAUGCAGUUACGCAACCGGGUGCAUGACACGUGAAUUACAGCGCACCUGAGAUCCUGAUGAAAUCCUGGGAGCCUGCUGUCAAACAUGGUUUUAAAAAAUAAAGGGAAUACACCCAGCCCACACCCUGACUUUACAACCUUUAAUUAAUUAGGGGAAAGAAAGAGAGAUCUGUCUGGUUUCAUGACUUCAACUUUCCACCUGGAAUAUGAAGCUCCUGCUCUUCCCACCUCCUUUUCUUCUCUCUCUCUCUCAGGUUUUUAAAUUUCUAUUUUCAGUUCUGCCACCAAAAAGAGAUUGCAAAUAUAUUCUGCAUAAUUCCGAGGCUACGCUAUAAAUGUUGGAGUGCUACUACUUGUAUAAUAGUCACAAAUGAACGCACGAGUGGGCACAGACCGCCACUGUG